GCCCCCCGCUUCGGGGUCACCGACUUUCCAAAAGGUCCUCGGGAGUCAAGAUUGAGUGACCGCGACCGACAAGUCAAAGGUCAGAGUUGUCACCCUGCGUGCAGACGAGUCUGUACGUACAGGUACGGAGGAACACAAGAGGUCCGUGUGUGGACCCACAGGAUUAUCGCGUCUAAAUCCCCAAACUGCUCCGGCAUCCGUGCCAACCUCAGCCUGAUUCUCACCUGACAUCCUCACGGAAGGUCUCUGAAGAGUUAAUCACUUUUCCAUGAAACCCCGUCCUCGGCCCAGACACAAACACACACCUGCCAGAAAUGACAAACCGGGGAAGUGGACAUUGUCCAGAGAGGGCUGGUGGCUCACCUGGGCUCCCCGCAGAAGCCCCCAGCCAGUGCCCCCACGCUCCUGGUGGAGGGGAGGGGGGGGACUCAUAAAUCUGCAUUAAGGCGGCCCCUGCCCCGGUCUCUGGCUGAAGGGCUCUUGAUGGAGAUGAAUAAGGAGCCCAGGGGGACCACGUUCUCACCGCUCACCUCUGGCUGUUUAAAGAGAAACCUGUUAUAGA